UAGAGAACAGUAUAAUCCCUCUGCUGUUACUGUCUCAUGUCGUCUGUCUCCUGAAAUCAGUGCUGUUGACUUGGAGAUCCGGUGGUUUAAGGAGACAGACUGUGUUUGUGUUUAUAAGAACAGUAAGGUGACAGAGGGGAGAGGUUAUGAGGGCAGAGUGAGUCUGUUCACUCAGGAGCUGGAGAGAGGAAACGUCUCCUUACAACUGAGAGACUGUACAUGGUUAGAUUUUGGAGAUUAUCUCUGUCAGGUCACUGAUGGAGACAGAACAGAAGAGAUUACAGUAAAGAUGUGGGAGGUAAGUAAAUAACUCGACUUCAUUUAUUAUUGUGUGCUCGACUUCACAAAAGUCUGAUCAGUAAGUGAGAUUCCACUUCCAUCAGUCAGCUUCUUUCCCACAAUGCACCUGUGUGUAACCUCACUGCAGUGUAAUAAUGUACAGAGACGUUUACUGUGUCGAGUAAAAGACACAACAAACACACAGCAUAUAACACACACCACUGACAGACUCCAUCAGAAUGUUACACAAUAAACAUAAAUCACAGCUUUAACAGUUUUCAGUGUUUGUAGACAGAAUAAUUGUCAUCAGUCGCUCUGCGUAACAAUCACACCAUGUUUUGUAAAAGCACCGAAGAGUCGAUUCGGCCUGGCGUUUAGUGUCUUUAAGCUAACGGUAGUAAGUCGUGUUAAUGCACACAGCAUAAAGACAACCUGACUGACCUGAGAACAGAAGUCCUUCACUUAAUUUCUAAAACUUCCUUCAUAGGAGAGAGGGAUUUGGGAGUGAAAGAGAGAAAAACAGAAGGAGAUCACGCAUCUUCUCUAAUCUACUGCGACAUGUCACAUGCUGUCGUAACCAGUAUAUAGACGAGGCAGCAGUAAAGAACAUCAUUCUGUUAUCUGUUCAGGUUUUACAUUGAUAAAUGUCUGUGUUUAUAAUUAAAGGAAGUGAGAAUCUGA